AGAGAGGCUCACAAGUUACUGCUCACUCUGAGCAGCCAGACCGGUUUAGAACAAGACUGAGUGAAUGAGCACAGUGAGGCUGUAACAGGACACCAAGUGGGAUCACAGAGAAUGGGAGGUCCACAAAAAUGCAAAUAAAAUAAAACUUGCAGCUGCCAUCACUUGCUCCCCUGUAUUGGAAAAGCAGCCUCGUGUAACAGACUGGAAAUGACAGGAAAGGAUUUUCUGGAAGCAGAGAGCAAGACCCAGAGCAGAAGCAGAAGGGAACUGAUGGCUGGAUGGCAGGGAGAGAGAGAGACACACACAGUGAACUGCCUGAAGGUGAGAGCAUCCCAGAUUUGAUCCAGAUGAAUAAAUAAAUGAUGACUCUGAAACA
rnacentral:lncRNA from 1 species